GGAGUGCAGAUUCUCCCCGAGUCAUAUUUGUCAUCUCUCUCCUUUCCUGUCUGUUCCAAUUGCCACCAAUCCAGUUCACCCCAUCCGCUUCUACUAGCGUUAUCGUCAUGGCCGGCUGAGUCUGCUGCCUCCAGGCUCUGCUGAUCUAAAGGUCUUAGUUCCACAGAGAGGAAUGCUUCUAUUGAGUGACACAACAAUGAUUCCAUUGAACUGGAAGCUGAGACUGUCAUCUUGCCACUAUGGGCUCCUUACACCACUGAAUUAACAAGGAAUGGAAGAGUAUUACUAUAUUGGCUGGGGUGAUUGAUCCUGAUUACUAAGGGAUAACCAAGUUGCUACUACACAAUGGGGAUAAAGAGGAGUGUGUCUGCAAUACAGCAAACCAUCUAGGACACCCGUUAGUAUUUCCUGUGAUGAAUGUCAACAGAAAUCUACAACCAUCUAAUUCAGGCAGGAUACCUAAUGGCCCGGCUGUUUCCAAUGAAGGUAUGGGUCAGCCGACCAGGCAAGGAACCAUGACCAGUUGAGGUGCUUGUUAAGAACAAAGGGAACGUGGAAUGAAGGUAGUUUUAAAUACCAGCUAUAGCUACAGGGCUAGUUACAAAAAUGAGGAAUGUAAUAACUAUGGGUAUUUCUUUCUUAUUUUGAUUUGAACACACAUAUUAAACAUUUUUGUUUUCCUCUC